rnacentral:lncRNA from 1 species
CUAGCAUUAAAUAUCAUUCAAUAGUUUUUUUGAUUGUUAAUAAAUUAUAAAUGGUAUAAUGUAACCUUUAUUUGUACCUUAAUGAUUCCUUUUAAUAUUAUUUAUGCAUAAAUAUUUGCAAACAGUUACUACACAAAAUAGUUCGUUAAUUAUUAUAUUUUUCUUGUUAACAUGUUUUUAUUUCAUUUUAUAGUUAUAUUUAUAGUAUAUUUUAGCAAUUUUUCAACUUAGGUGCUUUUGUGUGAAUCUUUUUGACUUGUAUGUAUCCACCCUUUUAUAAAAUAGUUCCGUCCAUUUUUAUUAUGAAAUGUUUGUGUACCUUUUGCUUUGUGAGUCAUUUUUUAUGAUAAGCAUUCCAUAAGUAUUUGUACUGAUUUAUUAUUAAUAUGUUAAACAAAUUUGUAAUAAUCAUAAUCAAAUUCAGUUUCUUGAAGAAAUUGUUGCAGCAACACAAUUUUGCAUUGUACCUAAGGUUUUAGAUAAGGUCUUAUCUAAAGUAUCUAGUACUUUAAUGACUAAAUUAUUGUUCAGAUUUCUCAUCAGCAGGAAAAUUUCAAACUUUGGUUCUCUUUCAUGAUUAUGACUUUAGCUAACAUUUGAUUAUACGAAUCAAGACCAAUUAUCAUUUUGAAUUUUCUUUUCCUCCUUUGAGAAAAAGAACUUUGUACGCAAUUUUACAUAUCUGACAAAAUAUGUAGGGGAAAUAACUCUGUAAUAAUUAUUUUUAAAAGUUUUCUACUUUGAUAAUGUUUAUUUACUUCAUGUAUUUAAAGUAUGAUAAAUUUAUCUUAAGAAACUCAUAUGACCUCAUUUGAUUGUAAUA